rnacentral:rRNA from 1 species
CCAUGUAAUGAUGCUUACAGUGUUAAUACACCAGAUCCCAUCAGAACUCUGUAGUUAAGCGCACUUGGCCUAGAAUGGUACUGGGAUGGGUGACCUCUCAGGAUGUCCUAAUGUUUUACAUGCC